rnacentral:rRNA from 1 species
GGCCAGACUCCUACGGGAGGCAGCAGUGGGGAAUAUUGCACAAUGGGGGGAACCCUGAUGCAGCGACGCCGCGUGGGUGAAGGAGCACCUCGGUGCGUAAAGCCCUAUCAGCAGGGAAGAAGAAAUGACGGUACCUGAGUAAGAAGCACCGGCUAAAUACGUGCCAGCAGCCGCGGUAAUACGUAUGGUGCAAGCGUUAUCCGGAUUUACUGGGUGUAAAGGGAGCGCAGGCGGCACGGCAAGCCUGAUGUGAAAGCCCGCGGCCCAACCGCGGGACUGCAUUGGGAACUACCGGGCUGGAGUGCCGGAGAGGUAGGCGGAAUUCCUAGUGUAGCGGUGAAAUGCGUAGAUAUUAGGAGGAACACCAGUGGCGAAGGCGGCCUGCUGGACCGUGACUGACGUUGAGGCUCGAGAGCGUGGGGAGCAAACAGGAUUAGAUACCCCAGUA